rnacentral:rRNA from 1 species
AGUGAAUGCUGGCGGUAGGCCUAACACAUGCAAGUCGAACGGCAGCACAGGAGAGCUUGCUCUCUGGGUGGCGAGUGGCGGACGGGUGAGGAAUACAUCGGAAUCUGCCCAGUCGUGGGGGAUAACGUAGGGAAACUUACGCUAAUACCGCAUACGACCUUCGGGUGAAAGAGGGGGAUCGCAAGACCUCUCGCGAUUGGAUGAGCCGAUGUCGGAUUAGCUAGUUGGCGGGGUAAUGGCCCACCAAGGCGACGAUCCGUAGCUGGUCUGAGAGGAUGAUCAGCCACACUGGAACUGAGACACGGUCCAGACUCCUACGGGAGGCAGCAGUGGGGAAUAUUGGACAAUGGGCGCAAGCCUGAUCCAGCCAUACCGCGUGGGUGAAGAAGGCCUUCGGGUUGUAAAGCCCUUUUGUUGGGAAAGAAAUCUUUCAGGCUAAUACCCUGGGAGGAUGACGGUACCCAAAGAAUAAGCACCGGCUAACUUCGUG